GGAUUGUAGCUCAGUGGUAGAGUGCUUGCCUACCAUGCAUGAGACACUGGGUUCAAUCCCUGGCACCA
rnacentral:tRNA from 1 species